GUAGGGGGCAAGCGGUUGUCCGGAAUCAUUGGGCGUAAAGCGGCGCGAGUAGGCGGGCCCGAUUAAAGUCCGCUGUAAAAGGUCAACGGCUCAACUGUUGAACGCCGGUGGAUACUGUCGGGCUAGAGUCCGGAAGAGGCAAGUGGAAUUCCUGGUGUAGCGGUGGAAUGCGCAGAUAUCAGAGGAACACCAAUAGCGAAGGCAGCUUGCUGGGACGGUACUGACGCUAAGGCGCGAAAGCGUGGGGAGCGAACAGG
rnacentral:rRNA from 1 species